rnacentral:rRNA from 1 species
AUGGAGCAGCUAAGAAAUGCAAAGGCAUUGCUUGAACCGGUAGCCGUUGUACGUGAUGGCAUGGGAUUAUCCGACAGAGAAAUGGCAGGUGAUUCUACAGUCUCGUCUAUAGCGCACAAACAACAUUUUGGUCCAGUGAAUCAGGUGCAGAGUGACUCGCAAUGUUUAGACAGCUUUGGGGCACCAUCCAAGAAGAGACCAGCGGGGCGGCCUACAACAAGCCGCGACAAAGCGCUAUAUGAACAACCGGCUAAAAGGAGCCGUUUUUGUUCAAUCUGCCAUGGUCAAGGGCACAAGAGCACAACAUGUCCGCAGCGCGGUGAUCUUCCGAAGGCGCCAAGGAAGUCGCCUCGCUGCUUCAGGUGGAGUCUGACAGGACACAGGAGGAACACUUGCACCAACACGCCUAGGGCGGAUUUCUACUAG